GACGAACGCUGGCGGCGUGCUUAACACAUGCAAGUCGAACGGAAAGGCCCUGCUUUUGUGGGGUGCUCGAGUGGCGAACGGGUGAGUAACACGUGAGUAACCUGCCCUUGACUUUGGGAUAACUUCAGGAAACUGGGGCUAAUACCGGAUAGGAGCUCCUGCUGCAUGGUGGGGGUUGGAAAGUUUCGGCGGUUGGGGAUGGACUCGCGGCUUAUCAGCUUGUUGGUGGGGUAGUGGCUUACCAAGGCUUUGACGGGUAGCCGGCCUGAGAGGGUGACCGGCCACAUUGGGACUGAGGUACGGCCCAGACUCCUACGGGAGGCAGCAGUGGGGAAUAUUGCACAAUGGGCGGAAGCCUGAUGCAGCAACGCCGCGUGCGGGAUGACGGCCUUCGGGUUGUAAACCGCUUUCGCCUGUGACGAAGCGUGAGUGACGGUAAUGGGUAAGGAAGCACCGGCUAACUACGUG
rnacentral:rRNA from 1 species